ensembl:snoRNA SNORD116 Small nucleolar RNA SNORD116
GGAUCGAUGAUGACUCCCACAAAAACAUUCCUUGGAAGCUGAACAAAAUGAGUGAAAACUCUAUACCGUCGUUCUCAUCGAAACUGAGGUCC